ACAAACUACCCAUCUCUCUUUUCAGUUUCACUCUUUCUCGAGCGCCUCUCUCCGUCCUCUCUCAAAACAGUGAACCCUAUCAUCUCUCUGUCCGAUUUCGAUCUCCUCUCUCUCAAAUCAAACCCCAUCAUCUCUCUCAAAUCAAAUCCUCUCUCCUGUCAUUUCGAUCUCUCGCUCUCUCGAUUCUGGUGUCACUCAAGGUGAUGUACCUGUUGAAUUGGGAGAAUGAUGAAGCAUUGAUGCAAACCUGCAAGCUGCAGCAUCUAGGAUGGCUUGUGUUCAAUCUACUUUUAUUUGCUUUUGAACUUGUAAUAACUUGGAGUUUGGUUGAAUUGUUCUCUAUUUGUAUUCAGGUCUGUAACUAUUAACUAAGUUUGGACUAUGGACUUAUGGAGUAUGGAAUAUAUAUGCCUGUAGCUCUUUGCUUAAA